rnacentral:rRNA from 1 species
GACGAACGCUGGCGGCGCGCUUAAUACAUGCAAGUCGAGCGAGAACCAGGCCUUCGGGCCUGGGGAAAGCGGCGAACGGGUGAGUAACACGUGGGUAAUCUGCCCUCGGCACUGGGAUAGCCCGGGGAAACCCGGAUUAAUACCGGAUAGCCUUUCGAGCCUUCGGGCUCGUCAGAAAAGGUGGCUUCGGCUUCCGGCUGAGGAUGAGCCCGCGGCGGAUUAGCUUGUUGGUGAGGUAAUGGCUCACCAAGGCUCCGAUCCGUAGCUGGUCUGGGAGGACGAUCAGCCACACUGGGACUGAGACACGGCCCAGACUCCUACGGGAGGAAGCAGUAGGGAAUCUUGCGCAAUGGGCGAAAGCCUGACGCAGCGACGCCGCGUGCGGGAAGAAGGCCUUCGGGUUGUAAACCGCUUUCAGGAGGGACGAAGCCGCUCGGGUUAGUACCCCAGAGGGUGACGGUACCUCCAGAAGAAGCCCCGGCUAACUACGUGCCAGCCGCCGCGGUAAUAC